rnacentral:rRNA from 1 species
AUUGAACGCUGGCGGCAUGCCUUACACAUGCAAGUCGAACGGCAGCACGGGAGCAAUCCUGGUGGCGAGUGGCGAACGGGUGAGUAAUAUAUCAGAACGUGCCCAGUCGUGGGGGAUAACGCAGCGAAAGCUGUGCUAAUACCGCAUACGAUCUACGGAUGAAAGCGGGGGAUCGCAAGACCUCGCGCGAUUGGAGCGGCCGAUAUCAGAUUAGCUAGUUGGUGAGGUAAAGGCUCACCAAGGCGACGAUCUGUAGCUGGUCUGAGAGGACGACCAGCCACACUGGAACUGAGACACGGUCCAGACUCCUACGGGAGGCAGCAGUGGGGAAUUUUGGACAAUGGGCGAAAGCCUGAUCCAGCAAUGCCGCGUGCAGGAUGAAGGCCUUCGGGUUGUAAACUGCUUUCGUACGGAACGAAACGGUGAGCUCUAAUACAGUUUGCUAAUGACGGUACCGUAAGAAUAAGCACCGGCUAACUACGUGCCAGCCGCCGCCGUAA